GGGCCCAUAGCUCAAUUGGCAGAGCCCUCGGCUCAUAACCGAUUUGUUGCAGGUUCGAGUCCUGCUGGGCCCA
rnacentral:tRNA from 1 species